GACGAACGCUGGCGGCGUGCUUAACACAUGCAAGUCGAACGGAAAGGCCCUGCUUUUGUGGGGUGCUCGAGUGGCGAACGGGUGAGUAAAACGUGAGUAACAUGCCCUUGACUUUGGGAUAACUUCAGGAAACAGGGGCUAAUACCGGAUAGGAGCUCCUGCUGCGUGGUGGGGGUUGGUAAGUUUCGGCGGUUGGGGAUGGACUCGCGGCUUAUCCGCUUGUUGGUGGGGUAGUGGCUUACCAAGUGUUUGACGGGUAGCCGGCGUGAGAGGGUGAACGGCCACAAUGGGACUGAGAUACGGACCAGACGCCUACGGGAGGCAGCAGUCGGGAAUAUUACACAGUGGGCGGAAGCCUGAUACAGCAACGCCGCGUGCGGGAUGACGGCCUUCGGGUUAUAAACCGCUUUCGCCUGUGACGAAGCGGGAGUGACGGUAAUGAGUAAAGAAGCACCGGCUAACUACGUG
rnacentral:rRNA from 1 species